AUGACCAUCAAAUGCCAGCCGUAUUAUCUACUGCGAGAGCUCACAGCGGUUUUCAUUGUUGUUGUUUAUAUCCCCCUGAGCCCAAAAGCUAAUGAGGCGCUAGCAGAACUACAUGAAAACAUAGUCUCUCUCCAAAACAAGUACCCUGACGCAUCUUAUGUGAUUGCUGGAGAUUUUAACCAUGUAAAUUUGACGGACAUUAUACCAAGGUUUUAUCAACAUGUUACUAUCGCGACCCGGGGGAAUAACAACCUCGAUCGUGUGUACACAAACAGACGCGGAGCCUAUAGAGCAUUCCCUCUUCCUAACCUUGGACUGUCUGAUCAUAUCUCUGUUAUGCUUGCUCCCUCCUACAGCCCUGUUGUGAAGACAAUGAAACCAAUACAAAAGUCAAUUACAGUGUGGCCCAGUAAUGCUGCCUCUGUGUUGCAACACUGCUUUGAAAGUACUGGCUGGCAGGUUUUCAGGGAGGCAGCAACAGAUGCUGGAGAGGUGGAUCUGGAGGAGUAUGCAUCCUCUGUCACCUGUUACAUAAGUAAGUGUGUGGAUGAUGUUACCACCACUAGGACAAUAACUAUCCACCCUAACCAGAAGCCCUGGCUAACUGCUGAGGUCAGAUCACUUCUGAGAGCACGAGAUUCAGCAUUGAGGAAGGGCGACACGGAGGUGCUUCAAGUGGCAAGGAGGAAUUUGAGUACCGGCAUAAAAAGAGCUAAGGCUGAUUAUGCUCUCAAGAUACAGGGUCAUUUUUCUACCAACGACCCCCAGAGAAUGUGGGCCGGCAUCAAGAGCAUCACUGAUCAUAAAAGAGGAGAUACUGAAUGCUCCAGAGAUCCAUCUCUUCCUGAUGCUCUCAACACUUUCUAUGCUCGUUUUGAGGCCUCUAAUUCCACUCCUAGUACUAGACUCACUGUACCACCUGGUGAGCAGCCACCCAGUGUAACCACAGAAGAUGUCAGGAGGGUCCUUCAGAGAGUCAAACCACGGAAAGCUGCAGGCCCAGAUAACAUCCCAGGCAGGGUUCUGAAAGACUGUGCAUCUCAGCUCUCAGAGGUACUGACUGACAUUUUUAAUAUCUCACUGUCAAAAGCAGUUGUACCAUCAUGCUUUAGAUCUGCUACUAUUACUCCUGUGCCUAAGACUAAUAUUGUGUCAUGUUUGAAUGACUAUCGCCCGGUAGCACUCACCCCAAUAGUGAUGAAGUGCUUUGAGCGGCUGGUCAUGACUCAAAUCAGUGAGAAAAUUGAUGCCAGCACUGACCAGAAUCAGUACGCUUAUAGAAAGAACAGGUCCACUGCAGAUGCCGUCUCAUCAGUUUUACAUGUGGCUCUUACCCACCUGGAUUAA
ensembl:lncRNA